rnacentral:rRNA from 1 species
GUAAGGAAUAUUGGUCAAUGGACGAAAGUCUGAACCAGCCAUGCCGCGUGAAGGAUGAAGGCCUAUGGGUUGUAAACUUCUUUUCUCAGAAAAGAAUUAUGACGGUAUCUGAGGAAUAAGCAUCGGCUAACUCUGUGCCAGCAGCCGCGGUAAGACAGAGGAUGCAAGCGUUAUCCGGAAUGAUUGGGCGUAAAGCGUCUGUAGGUUGUUUAAAAAGUAUUCUGUCAAAGAUUAGGGCUUAACCCUAGAUAGGCAGAAUAAACUUUUAAGCUAGAGUUUGGUAGAGGCAGAGGGAAUUCCCGGUGGAGCGGUGAAAUGCGUAGAUAUCGGGAGGAACACCAAAGGCGAAGGCACUCUGCUGGGCCAAUACUAACACUGAGAGACGAAAGCGAGGGGAGCAAAUGGGAUUAGAAACCCGGGUAGUCC